rnacentral:rRNA from 1 species
GCAGCCUAACAAUGCAAGUCGAGCGGUAGAGAGAAGCUUGCUUCUCUUGAGAGCGGCGGACGGGUGAGUAAUGCCUAGGAAUCUGCCUGGUAGUGGGGGAUAACGUUCGGAAACGGACGCUAAUACCGCAUACGUCCUACGGGAGAAAGCAGGGGACCUUCGGGCCUUGCGCUAUCAGAUGAGCCUAGGUCGGAUUAGCUAGUUGGUGAGGUAAUGGCUCACCAAGGCGACGAUCCGUAACUGGUCUGAGAGGAUGAUCAGUCACACUGGAACUGAGACACGGUCCAGACUCCUACGGGAGGCAGCAGUGGGGAAUAUUGGACAAUGGGCGAAAGCCUGAUCCAGCCAUGCCGCGUGUGUGAAGAAGGUCUUCGGAUUGUAAAGCACUUUAAGUUGGGAGGAAGGGUUGUAGAUUAAUACUCUGCAAUUUUGACGUUUCCGACAGAAUAAGCACCGGCUAACUCUGUGCCAGCAGCCGCGGUAAUACAGAGGGUGCAAGCGUUAAUCGGAAUUACUGGGCGUAAAGCGCGCGUAGGUGGUUUGUUAAGUUGGAUGUGAAAUCCCCGGGCUCAACCUGGGAACUGCAUUCAAACACUGACUGACUAGAGUAUGGUAGAGGGUGGUGGAAUUUCCUGUGUAGCGGUGAAAUGCGUAGAUAUAGGAAGGAACACCAGUGGCGAAGGCGACCACCUGGACUAAUACUGACACUGAG